CCGCCCACCUUUUCUUUAGACCCGCGUCUCACCCCGGGCCGGAAGGGCUCCUGCGCAGGCGUUUGUAGCCACUUUUAAGUUUUAUCAGCUAGUUCAUGCUUGCGUUGAAAGAGUGGUCGUUUGCGCUGGGUCAUCACUGUGUAGUAUUGGGGAUACUUAGGUGAGAAAAAAACUUAACGCUAGAGACGUUCACGCACUAGUGGAGAAGCCAGGAUUGUUGCCCUAGAGUUACAGUAGAUAAAAGUACCUCAGAGAACUGCGGGGGCUCCCAACCUGGACGCUUGCACCGGAGUAUUAAAUCCAGCUAGAGAAUGGCAUGUGCAAAGAUACAGAGCUUUUAGAAGUUGCCUGCAUUCCUUGGCCCCUUCCUCACAUCAUUCCAACCAACUUCCAUCCUUACAAUCGAUUACUUUCCUGUAAUAGCUACAGUCAAAUGGGCAGCUGAAGAUGAUGAUGAUGAUGAUCUUGACACCGAGAAGCAGAAGACCAAUGAAGAUGACCAGACAGCAAAAAAGGAUAAGUUAAAAGAAGGGUCUCGCUCUGUAUCCCAGGC
rnacentral:lncRNA from 10 species